CCCUUAGAUGUCCUGGGCCGCACGCGCGUUACACUGAUGCAUUCAACAAGCUUAUAACCUUGGCCGAGAGGCCUGGGCAAUCUUGUUAACGUGCAUCGUGAUAGGGAUAGAUUAUUGAAAUUAUUAAUCUUGAACGAGGAAUUCCUAGUAAACGCAGAUCAUCAAUCUGCAUUGAUUACGUCCCUGCCCUUUGUACACACCGCCCGUCGCACCUACCGAUUGGAUGGUCCGGUGAAGCCUCGGGAUUGUGGUUCUUGCCGCUUUAUUGUGGCGUGACCGCGAGAACUUGUCUAAACCUUAUCAUCUAGAGGAAGGUGAAGUCGUAACA
rnacentral:rRNA from 1 species